rnacentral:rRNA from 1 species
AAGACCUUGCGCUUUUGGAGCGGCCGAUGUCUGAUUAGCUUGUUGGUGAGGUAAAGGCUUACCAAGGCUUCGAUCAGUAGCUGGUCUGAGAGGACGGCCAGCCACACUGGGACUGAGACACGGCCCAGACUCCUACGGGAGGCAGCAGUGGGGAAUUUUGGACAAUGGGGGCAACCCUGAUCCAGCCAUGCCGCGUGAGUGAAGAAGGCCUUCGGGUUGUAAAGCUCUUUCAGCCGGAACGAAACGGUUACGAUUAAUACCCGUAACUACUGACGGUACCGGAAGAAGAAGCACCGGCUAACUACGUGCCAGCAGCCGCGGUAAUACGUAGGGUGCGAGCGUUAAUCGGAAUUACUGGGCGUAAAGCGUGCGCAGGUGGUUUUGUAAGUCAGAUGUGAAAUCCCCGGGCUUAACCUGGGAACU